rnacentral:lncRNA from 1 species
AUAGCAUGUAAGCUGAGAUCAGAGCACCGGGAAGCAGCUACUGUGGGAAGAUGAGGGAAGAGUAUUGCUAGCACAGAGAACAACUAACUUAGAUGCCCUAGGGCAGGAGAAAGCCUGUUUGAGAAAUGUCAAGGCCAGCGUGAGUGGAAUGAGUUAGGGAGAGGGAGGUAGGAAAUUCCAUCAGAUACUUUACAUGGGCCAUGUCAGAGCCUCUUGGCCUCACCUGUGUCUGAGACCUUUGGCUGCUACAGUGACUGUCCAACUCCAUACGUGUGAAACCUGUUAGCCACUCACCUCAUGCUAUGUACCUCCCAUCUCCCAGCCUGGAGCUUCUCUAUUGGUACUGACCCAUGUGAUACACAGGACUGUCUCGGGCAACUGCAAGUUGAAAAAGGAAGUUAACUCCCUGAGUGAUGAACUUUUGACCAAUGGGAGAUCCAGCAGAUGAAUUCUCUUUCUUCUGAUGGACUGUCCUGAGAUGCAGUUACCUGGGCUUUUGGCAGUGACCAGUUUGGGUUUCUCAAGGCUCUGUUUCAGCUGUGAGCUGCUUUUCCUGCUGUGAGGACACUGUCUCCAAGAGUGACAUGUGUCUCAGGCACUUACACUUCUCUGCUCCUCCGCCGGCCACAUCCACACCAAAG